AGUGGCAAAGCCGUCGUUGCACGGCGGUGUGCCACGCAUAGGCGGAUGUGCCGACCAAACUUUGAAUGGGUAAGAAGGCCGAUUUGCUUUCCAAAAUCGUGCAUCUUCUGUCGAAAUGCGUCGAACGACUAAUGGACUAGUUUUGGUAAGCAGAACUGACGAUGGGUGAUGAACCGAACGUCAGGUGACGGUGCCCAAUACUCUUUGCUCAUCUGAGACCAUGAAACGUGUUGGUCGAUAUAGAAGGCCAUGGAAGUCGGAACCCGCCAUGGAGUGUGUAAUAACUCACCUGCCGAAUCGACCAGCCCUGAAAACGGAUAGCGCUCGAGCGCCGAGCCUGUACCUGACCGCUUUGGCAAUGUUGUUGACCAUCUCGCGCGUUCUUCUCUGCAAACGGACGACCGAAGGCCAGGCGUGUA
rnacentral:ncRNA from 1 species